rnacentral:rRNA from 1 species
GACGAACGCUGGCGGCGUGCUUAACACAUGCAAGUCGAACGGAAAGGCCCUGCUUUUGUUGGGUGCUCGAUUGGCGAACGGGUGAGUAACACGUGAGUAACCUGCCCUUGACUUUGGGAUAACUUCAGGAAACUGGGGCUAAUACCGGAUAGGAGCUCCUGCUGCAUGGUGGGGGUUGGAAAGUUUCGGCGGUUGGGGCUGGACUCGCGGCUUAUCAGCUUGUUGGUGGGGUAGUGGCUUACCAAGGCUUUGACGGGUAGCCGGCCUGAGAGGGUGACCGGCCACAUUGGGACUGAGAUACGGCCCAGUCUCCUACGGGAGGCAGCAGUGGGGAAUAUUGCACAAUGGGCGGAAGCCUGAUGCAGCAACGCCGCGUGCGGGAUGACGGCCUUCGGGUUGUAAACCGCUUUCGCCUGUGACGAAGCGUGAGUGACGGUAAUGGGUAAAGAAGCACCGGCUAACUACGUG